rnacentral:lncRNA from 1 species
UUAUUCGAAAUUUAAUCGAAUAUUUUAUUCUAAUCCUUACAUAAUCUAAUACAAAAUUACGAUAAAAUAUAUCAAAUACCGUAUCGAUUAACUCCACGUUUAGUAUAGUUAUCGAUAUCUCGACUACGAUCGAAUUAUCGUGUCAACAAUGGAGCAUAUAAAUCUCAGGUGAACGAUAGAGGGACACUGAUGCAACACGGGAUUGAAACGAGCGUAUUGUUUCGAGGAGGAACACGCGCGCGCGCGUAACAUCGAUGCCCGACGGUAGAAACAAAAGUAGAAGGCGGAGGCAGUCGGCGACAGCGUGUGUACGAGGAAAGCCGACCACAUGAAUGAACCUUCCAUUCAUGCGUGCCUCUAACCCCUUCCUACAACCCCCGUCGCACCGUCUAUGGGAUCUUGUCGGCUACCAACGACACGACUAUGCGACACACACACACACACACAUAAAACACGCAUACUUACAAACAUUGAGACACAAAGAUGAAAAGAGAGAGAGAGGGAGGGAAGGAAAGAGUGCACAUGCGCACAAAACGAAGCGCCGCGACACACGUGACCGCCAUUGUUGAUCGCAAGGAAGAACCGGCAGCGCCAACCAGCCGCGUUAUUCCUGGCUUUUUUGCCAGAACCAGGACACUGAUAGCAUACUCGUUCUCCCGUCUUUCUAAGUGGUACCCUGGAGAGGUAUAAUACCGGGACGAAGGCUCAUUCAUUCGUUCGGUCACGUAACCGAGAUUAGGAGUGUUUGGCGCCGAUGUUUUUAACGGCUAAUGACGGUAUAUUCCUCGAUCUUUCGACGAAUGGAACACUUUCGAGAAUCUUCGAUCUGUAGAUGAAUUACAGAACAGAUCAAUCCAGGUUGUUUUUUUGUAAAGUUCACGGGUUCUUAAUUUGGAUAUAGAGAAAAUUGGAAUACAUGGAAUGACGAUAUGAUGAUAUGAUGAAUUAAUCAAAUUAAAUAAAGUAACCAGGAUUAAAAUGAGAAUCAUGAUAACUCAAGCACGUAUACGUUACGACCGCAAUGACCACAUCCAUAAACACUUAUUUUCAACAUCUCGAUUUUAUAUCUUUUGUAUUCAGACACCGAACCGUGUAAAUUCAAGGAAACAAGAACAAAGCAUGUCAUGUGUAAACAUAGAUAUCAGUAAUGUACCCAGUAGCUCAAGAAAUUAUUCGAACGUUUAUUAAAAAAUAUUUCUAUACAAAAUUAUGUUCAAAACACGAAAGAAAGAGAUUAAAAAUUUGAGAAUGAAUUUCAAAUUUCCAUCAAUAAUCUAUUAUGUUUUAUAUACAUACAAAUUCUUAAAAUCAUUAUUUGAGUUAAUCGAAUUUCUUAAUAAGAUAGUGCUCUAAUACUUUCGUGAGUUACUGUACGUUUCCUGGCUGAUUCCAAGCACUCUGUAAUAUACGAUAGAGUUUAACGAGUAUCAACGUCGGCCAGUUCCCAAGAAGUCGAGGCAGAAAAGUGUACGACUGUUGUCUCAUUCAUCGGCGACGAGGAAGAAGACCCUUGUCCCAUUCAUCGUAGUCCCGUCACGCUUGACGGGGACCUAGGUUAGCUGGAUUUUAAGCGCGGCAAGAGCGCAAGAAGGCACCAAUGGGGACCGUUCGAGUCCCGAUGGGAGAUGAAGAACACGUUUCUUCUUCCUCGUCAAAAGAGUAACAAGAAUGUCAUAAGCGGCCGGACGAAGAAGACACGGUGAAUCGGUUGUCUGUGUAACGAGACCCCGGCCACAAUUACAGUACUAAUGGAACCCACUACUUUAUAUGGCUUGGAGAAACGAUAUUACGAUAUUGUGAUCGAUUAUUCUUGAGGCAAUUCACGAAGUUAAGUUCUGUGAAAACAAACGAAUAUGGUUAUUUGAGUUUUUAAAAUUAAAUUUCACGGAUUUAUGGACCUUACUGUAUGAGCUGCGCUGAGAUGAUAAUUUUAAUUUUUUUAAUUAAUAAAUAGAUAUAUCAAGGAUAAAAUAUAUUUCUUAGAAGAGAAAAAUAUAAAACUCUUGAAAAAUAAUUUUUACAAUUUCUUAUUGUAUAUAUUAA